rnacentral:rRNA from 1 species
UACGAAGGGGGCUAGCGUUGCUCGGAAUCACUGGGCGUAAAGCGCACGUAGGCGGACUCUUAAGUCGGUGGUGAAAUCCUGGAGCUCAACUCCAGAACUGCCUCCGAUACUGGGAGUCUUGAGCCCGGGAGAGGUGAGUGGAACUGCGAGUGUAGAGGUGAAAUUCGUAGAUAUUCGCAAGAACACCAGUGGCGAAGGCGGCUCACUGGCCCAUAACUGACGCUGAGGCACGAAAGCGUGGGGAGCAAACAGG